rnacentral:rRNA from 1 species
CCUACGGGGGGCAGCAGUCGAGAAUCAUUCACAAUGGGGGAAACCCUGAUGGUGCGACGCCGCGUGGGGGAAUGAAGGUCUUCGGAUUGUAAACCCCUGCCAUGUGGGAGCAAAUUAAAAAGAUAGUACCACAAGCGGAAGAGACGGCGAACUCUGUGCCCGCAGCAGCGGUAAUACAGAGGUCUCAAGCGUUGUUCGGAAUCACUGGGCGUAAAGCGUGCGUAGGCUGUUUCGUAAGUCGUGUGUGAAAGGCGCGGGCUCAACCCGCGGACGGCACAUGAAACUGCGAGACUGGGGUAAUGGAGAGGGAACCGGAAUUCUCGGUGUAGCAGUGAAAUGCGUAGAUA